UACGUAGGCAGCGAGCGUUGUUCGGAGUUACUGGGCGUAAAGGGUGUGUAGGCGGCUUUCUAAGUUUGGUGUGAAAUCUCCCGGCUCAACCGGGAGGGUGCGCCGAAAACUGGGGAGCUAGAGUGCGGGAAGGGAGAGUGGAAUUCCUGGUGUAGCGGUGAAAUGCGUAGAUAUCAGGAGGAACACCGGUGGUGCAGACGGCUCUCUGGACCGUAACUGACGCUGAGACACGAAAGCGUGGGUAGCAAACAGG
rnacentral:rRNA from 1 species